rnacentral:misc_RNA from 1 species
GACGGUUGUGGGAUUGUUCGAUGGCCUUGGAUUCACUACGGUGGGUUUAGUCGAUGACGGGUUGAGGUGUUCUUCCCCCCCUGGACACCAAGAGGACAASAUGCGAACCCGUUAUCGAAGCAGAGGUCCCGAUCGACGUGUUGCCCCGAUGUUCCGACCGACAGUUAAGAUUUUGUUGGCAACGAUGGACCGACCCGAUUGAUGGUUUUGAUUUUGUGGGAAAUGAUGGAUCGACUCGAUUGACGGUUUUAUUUUUUGGGAAAUGAUGCAUCGACCCGAUUGACGGUUUUAAUUUUGUGGGAAACGAUGGACCGACACGAUUGAUGGUUUUGAUUUUGUGGGAAAUUAUGUAUCGACCCGAUUGACGGAUUUGAUUUUCGCAUCGUGCGGUGCUUUCCUCCGAACCAACUUCGGCUAUAGGUUGCAUUCUUGGCCUUUGUGUUAGGGAUGUGGCUAUUAGUUGGGUGGUUUUAGGGAUUGUCGACCGUAAAGGUGCAUGAGUUGUGUUUGGUUUGUUACGUGUCGUUGGAUGUCUGCUUGUGCAGCAACGUCGACACGUGCAGACCUCUUCAUCUUGUGAAAGCAUGCUUUGCUUUUGCAUGUUGUGGGUUUCUAGCGUUGUGUUCCUGAAUUGUGGCAUUUUAUGGUUUGAACGACGUGUCUUUAAUCAUGUCACACAUAUGUGUGCCACGUAAAAAGGCAUGAAGCUAUCUCUUCGAUCCUCUUCGUCUUUGUCUUUGGCACUGGUGUUGUGGCUCGUUGAGAAAGCUGGUCUCACGGAUGCGGUGCCUGACUCGGUGAUUUGGUUUUAUUAACCAUUUUKGUUGCCAUAACUAGAUGUUUUUGCCUCUCCUUCAUAUGACCGUCCAUUGUG